UAGGGAAUCUUCGGCAAUGGGGGGAACCCUGAACGAGCAACGCCGCGUGAGUGAAGAAGGUUUUCGGAUCGUAAAGCUCUGUUGUUAAGGAAGAACGAGUGUGAGAAUGGAAAGUUCAUACUGUGACGGUACUUAACCAGAAAGGGACGGCUAACUACGUGCCAGCAGCCGCGGUAAUACGUAGGUCCCGAGCGUUGUCCGGAUUUAUUGGGCGUAAAGCGAGCGCAGGCGGUUAGAUAAGUCUGAAGUUAAAGGCAGUGGCUCAACCAUUGUAGGCUUUGGAAACUGGUUGACUUGAGUGCAGAAGAGGAGGGUGGAAUUCCAUGUGUGGCGGUGAAAUGCGUAGAUAUAUGGAGGAACACCAGUGGCGAAGGCGACUCUCUGGUCUGUAACUGACGCUGAGGCUCGAAAGCGUGGGGAGCGAACAGG
rnacentral:rRNA from 1 species